rnacentral:ncRNA from 15 species
GAUAGGUCGCUGUCGCUACGGUGAUUGGACACUGACACUGAGUCAACUAGCCUUGUGCGCGCGGUUCUUCGCGCGCGGAACCGGAGGACGGUCCGAGCCACGAGGGGGGAGGCUCGGACCGUCCGUA